rnacentral:rRNA from 1 species
GCAGGCGGCGACAGCACGUUGAAUGCACUAGUUUCCCAUAGAUCACAGAAGUUAAACAACGUUGCGCGUGAUUAGCAUCUGGAUGAUAACUACGGUGACCAUCUGACAUCUGAGCAAUCGCAUGCUGCUGGCU